rnacentral:lncRNA from 1 species
CCUAUUCAACCGGCCCAUGAAGGCCCAAGACCGGCCCAGCCUUGAAGCCCAUCAACCUUGCAUGUGAGUUUCCAAGUGGCAUGGAGGAGGAGCCAAGUGUGGCUGCCCCCAUUGGCUUCCUUGGGCGGCUUCAUGCAAUCAAAUGAUUGCAAAUGAUUGUAGGGAAGAAAGCUAAAGGUAGAGAGGCGGAUGGGUGAAGGGGAAUCGACCGAGAGAGAGAGAGAGAGAGAGAGAGAGAGAGAGAGUUGUCCGAGAGAGAGGAAGAGAGAAAGAGAGGAAGCAGGCAUGCGAGAGGAAGAAGAAGAAGACCGUCCGUUUGCCGCUUUGCCGCCGUUUUUGUUGCUAUUUGUGCUUGAGUUUAAGGCAAGUGAAGUCCUAAACCUACCCCUUACAUUGCUGUGUGUAUGUGUAGUAGAUGGUAAGUCUUGGUUGUGGUAGAUGGGAUGAGAUUUCGGAGAUUUGAAGAGAGAUUCGUUGGUCAUGCAUGCUGUUUCUGGAAAGACCAGUCUGACCGUCCAUGAGAUUGUGUGUUGCAUGUAACUUUUAGUUGGAAUCUUGUUUCGACUUCUUAAUGAAAGUUGUAGAGAACACCUUGAAGAACAACAUACGAAAAUUUGAGGAAAAACAAACAAGUAUUGGUUAGUGAAAUGAUUUUUCUUUGGAGGACUUAGAUCUGGAAUUCGUUGUGAUGACCUUUGGAGAUUUCGUAGUCUGUAAAGUAACUUUCUUGUGAAAAUAUCACUUUGACCUCUUAUUGAAAGUUGUAUAUACUUCUUGAGGUAGAACAUAUCAAAAUUUUAGAGGAAAUGAACAAAUAUAGGUCGCUGAAAUCGUUGUCUUUUGAAGAAACUGGAUCUGGGAAAAACGUUACCUCGACCCAGUAUGAUUUCGUGAUUUUUAUAAAAUGAUAAAGUUAAAAUUUGUUCGUGUGUCCUUAAUGAAAGUUGUAGGUAAUAUCCUGAGGAAUAACAUACUAAAAAUUUAGAAGAAAUGAACAUAUGUAGGUCGGUGAAAUGAGUUUCUUUUGAAAGAUGAUAAUCUGGAAAAGAUAACACCGAGAACAGAGGGAAUAAAUCAUCUAUAUAUAUUGAUAUAGAACGAUUUGGAUUUCGAUGUCUUCUUGAGAUAUUUACCUCUAGGACUUGUCUAUAACAUGUCAAAAAUUCAUAAUUUUUUGAGUUCAUUGGGGUAUUUAAUUUAAAUUACUCCCGAAACUGUGCAAGCUGAAAUAUUGAAGUUUUGAAUUCUGUGAUGUAUGGACCAUAAUGUUUUGUGUGAGAUUCUUUUGGCAUGGAGUUAUUCAUGAGAUAUCUGCCUUUAGGUCUCAUCUAUAAUGUGUCAAGUUUUCAGAAUUUAUUAAUGUCAUUUACUAAUUUUUCUGGAGUUUUAAUUAGAGGAAUGCAUUCUGAUUUAUCCGAAACAUUGACGUGUUUUGAAAAAAAUGAAUGAAAUUAUCCAUGUGAUGUUAAUACCUUGAGCGGUUGAUCUUGCUGCAUAUGUGAUGACAUAUGACGUGUUAUAUGGCAUGAAAAGCUGGUUGAGAUCUUUGAUAUUAUUGCAUCGAAUAUCAUGUUGAAAAUUGAGAUACAUGUGUGGAUAUAACUUGAGGAAAUAACGAGACUAUCGAAGGUGUGAGCCGAUAAUGCCCCGGGAGUGUUGGGAUGCCCAGAGUGUGGGGUUGCCGGAAGCCUCGGUGGUGUGUGCCGGGGGGGGGGGAUGCCUCAUGAUGCUAGUUGGGAUACGAGAUGCCCGGAGUGUGGGGGUGCCGGAUGCCCGGAGGUGUGUGCCGAAGGUUCCUCGUGAUGCCAAGUUGGAUACGAGCGAUAAAUUGUGGGAUGAAAACACUGGUCCCUAGAAAGAUAAAAAUUGAGACUGUAUCAUAUGGCAUGGAUAUAUGCAUGAAUGCUUGAUGAUGAGUGCAUGGUGGUAUAUGCACAUAUGGCAUGGGUAUAUGCAUGAAUGCUUGAUGAUGAGUGCAUGGUGGUAUAUGCACAUAUGGCAUGGUGAUAUACGUAUGGCUGUAAGGUAAGGUAUGCUUGAAUGCAUGAAUGAUAUGUGUUUUAUUCUUGAUUGUUCUGUUUGACGCAUUGAGUAGUGUGGUGGAUCUUUACUGCUGAGUGGUUGUACUCACCCCUUUUGGGGAUUAACAUUUCAGAUUAGAAAGAUGCCGUUGCGAUCAGUUGCACGCGGUACUUACUAUGGCAUACCUACUGAUGUGGAUGUGGAGUGUACUGAGCAUGUCUGUGUCAGUGCUCCUGGUUUAGUUUUUGUUUGAGUCCGUGUCCUGGUGAUGUAUGACGUGGGUCGAGCUGAUGGCCCGGUCAUCCAGGAGUUUUUAUCUGUCAAUGUCCGACAUGAUGGAGUUAUGUUAGGGAUGUUACCGCCGCCGCCACCCGAUGCACCAGAUUGGGUAUGAUGGCGCAUAUAGUUGAUGAGAAGUGACUUUUUGGAGAUAGCCGACGCUCGUUGAUGGAGGGUGGUAUAUGUUCGAUGUAGAAUCGAGUCCUUUUUGGGGUGGUAGCCAAGUAUAGUUAAAACCUUGGCCUUUUUAUUGUAUCGACCUUGAUGUCCAUCAUGAAAAUAUAAAUAAGAGUGAAUCGUCAUUAUCUUUUCUUAUGGUGCGUAGUUGGUGUGUAUUGCAUUAUGGUUAUUUGAGGGAGAGAUGGUGAGACUUGUUUAUGCUUUCGCUAAUAAGUUGCGCUGGGACCGCUUUAAAAAAAAAAAAAAAUCCCUAGUCAAAAGGGUAUCGGUCAGUGAAGUUAUAUGAGAUCGAGUAAUUAAGAGAGAUCACCUGUGGCGACCUCAGGCAAAUCGGGGGUGCCAUAGCGCGCUUUUUAUGGUAUCAGAGCAAUGGUUAUAGAUUGGAGUGAUAAGGAGCCUCAUUUGGAAAUUGAGGAACAUGAUGACAAUGCACACCAUAGGGUAUUAAAUGGAAUAAUUGGUUAACCUUGAAUAAUGGGUGAUGAGUAUUCACUCGUAGAUUCCUAGUAGUUUAUUAUGAGUUGCUUUUAGGUACCAGUAACAUGUAUAUGUUACUUAUGUAGUAGUAGUUGCUUUGAAUGGGGACAGUGAGUCUCAGAUUAUUCCUGAGGCAGUGCUUGGAAAUUGCAGGAAAGUUAUGGUACGAGUUGGAAGUGCUCAUCCAUCGAGGGCUGAAGCCUCUGCUGCAAGGGCUGAACCUCGAAUGGAAGACAUCCUGCAGGCAUUGGCCAAUAUUGGAAAUUUGAUGGAUAGGCAAGCGUAGCAACAACCUGGAAUGGAACGUCGCCCUCAAGGAUUGGUGGAACAAUUUCUGAAGUUGAAACCACUUAAGUUUAGUGGAAUAGGAAGUCCCGAGGAGGCGGAACAUUGGAUUGAUGGAAUGGAGCGAAUUUCCGGUUGUUGGAAUGCAGUGCAGUGAUCCUGAGAAAAUAGUUUUGGCAGAGUAUCAGCUGGAGGGAAAUGCAAAGUUUUGGUGGAGAGCUUCGAAUAAUACAAUCUUUCCACCAGAUACUGAUGUGAACUGGGAAGCUUUCAAUAGGAAGCAUUUCUCUUAUUGUACUAAGGAUAAGAAAAUCACUGAAUUUGUUCAAUUGGAACAAAAGGAGCUGACAGUGGAUCAAUAUGAAGCAAAAUUUUCUAAAUUGUCUAGGUAUGCUCCCAGAUUAAUUGAGGAUCAUGAGGAGAAAGCUAAGAGAUUUUUGAAAGGAUUGAGGACUGAUAUUAGGAAACAAUUGGUGCCUUUGAGUAUAAGGGAUUAUCAUGAGAUUUAUGAAAGGGCACAGUUACUGGAGCAAGAGCUGGUGAGAGAGCGAUCAGAGUUUAAGAGAUAGCCGAACUUUAGUGAUGUGAGAAAGGAUAAGAGACCCUAUCCUGGUCAAGGUCAGACUUGGAAUGUGAAGAAAAAGAGCAAUUUUGAAAAUUUUGGAAGAGCUAAGGAUGGCUUGAAUAUAGGGAAAGCACCCUAUUAGCCUGAUGUUUGUCAAAAGUGUGAUGAGAGGCAUGGCCCGGGACCUUGCAAUGGACGACUGAGAUGUUAUGGUUGUGGACAAGUAGGUCACCUUAGGAGGAAUUGCCCACAAGAAAGGUCACAAAUGAGUAUUGGCUUGGUGCGACAGGGACAAUAGAGUGCUAUUAGACUAAACCUACCAAGGAAUCCAUAGAGGCCACCGGCACAAGGAAGAGUGUAUGCCGUCACCCAAGAGGAAGCGGAAGCUUCCAAAAAUGUUAUAUCAAAUACGAUUUUCAUAAAUGGCAAGAAGGCAUAUGCAUUGUUUGACACGGGUGCUAUGCAUUCAUUUAUAUAUGAAAGAUAUAGGCAAUUGAGUGAAAUAGAAGUUACGCCUCUUGAGACGCCUCUUUGUGUUUCCACGCCUUUAAAGAAUAUGGUAUUGUCUACGAUGAUAUGUGCAAAAUGUAAGAUAACUAUAGAAGAGUGAGAUAUGAAAAUAGACUUAGUUGUUAUGGCUAUGUAUGACUUUGAUGUUAUCGUAGGGAUGGACUGGCUUCAUAAGCAUAGGGCUAAGGUGGAUUGCUAUAGGAAAGUGAUCCAGUUCAUGUUGCCUGAUCAAUCUAGUUUCGAAUUUUUCGGAGGUCGGAUAAGCCCCUCUAUAGCCAUUAUUUCAAUGGUAGAAGCUUGUGAACUACUUGACGAAGGAUGUCAAGGAUACCUAGCAGUGGUAAGAGACCUUACUAAGAAAGAAGUUGAAAUCGGUGAGAUUCAAGUAGUCAGGGAAUUUCAGGAUGUGUUUCCUGAGGAGUUGCUUGGAUUACCACCAGAGCGAGAAAUUGAGUUUGAAAUUGAACUAAUGCCUGGAACAUAACCUAUAUCAAAAGCCCCGUAUAGGAUGGCCUUAGUCGAAUUGAAGGAAUUGAAGGUGCAACUACAAGAGUUGCUUGACAAAGGAUUCAUUAGACCAAGUGCUUCACCUUGGGGUGCACCAGUCUUGUUUGUGAAAAGGAAGGAUGGGUCGAUGCGUCUGUGUAUUGAUUAUAGACAGCUGAAUCAAGUAACUAUAAAGAAUAAGUAUCAUUUGUCUAGAAUUGAUGAUUUAUUUGAUCAAUUGCAAGGAAGUUCAGUCUUCUCUAAAAUUGACUUAAAGGUCGGGAUACCAUCAGCUAAGAAUUAAGAAAGAAGAUAUUCCUAAGACUGUGUUUAGGACUCAUUAUGGACACUACGAGUUCCUUGUCAUGCCAUUUGGAUUGACAAAUGCACCAACUGCAUUCAUGGAUUUAAUGAAUAGGAUAUUUAAGCCUUAUCUGGAUCAGUUUGUGAUUGUUUUCAUUGAUGAUAUCCUGGUAUAUUCUAGAGGACCUGAAGAGCAUGAGCAACACUUGAGUAUAGUUUUGCAAACUUUGAGGGAUCAUAAGUUGUAUGCUAAAUUCAGCAAAUGUGAACUUUGGUUGGACCGGAUAACAUUCUUGGGACACGUGGUGUCAGGAGGAGGAAUUUCAGUGGACCCGGCGAAAGUUGAGAUGGUAAUAAAUUGGCUGAGACCGACGACACCCACUGAGAUACGGAGUUUCUUAGGAUUGGCUGGUUAUUAUAGAAGGUUUAUUGAAGGGUUUUCACGAUUGGCAGAUCCUUUAACAAAAUUGACUCGAAAGAACACAAAGUUUAAAUGGAGUGGGGAAUGUGAAGGGAGCUUUCAGGAACUUAAAAGAAAAUUGACUUCAGCUCCAAUCCUAACUAUACCGUCUAGAUCUGAUGGUUUUACGGUGUAUAGUGAUGCAUCUCACAAAGGAUUGGGAUGUGUUUUGAUGCAGCAUGGCAAGGUCAUAGCCUAUGCAUCGAGGCAAUUGAAACUCAUGAGCUGAAUUACCCAACGCAUGAUUUAGAAUUGGCAGCUAUAGUGUUUGCUUUGAAGAUAUGGAGACACUAUAUGUAUGGAGAAAAGUUUGAAAUCUAUACAGAUCACAAGAGCUUAAAGUAUCUAUUUUCACAAAAGGAAUUGAACAUGAGACAAAUGAGGUGGAUGGAGUUGUUGAAAGAUUAUGACUGUGAGAUACGAUAUAAUCCAGGAAAGGCAAAUAAAGUGGCAGAUACCCUUAGUCGAAAGUCGGCUGUGGACAUGGCUAGUCUAAGAAUAACAUAGUGGAAUCUAUUAAAGUCUAUUGUGGAUUCAGACUUUAAAUUGGAAAUGGAUUGCCUUACUGGUAUGCUUACUGCAUUAAGGAUUGAACCCAAAAUUAUUCAGAAAGUUAAGAUCCUGCAAGAAUCUGACUCGGAGAUUAUGAAAGUAAAAGAUGCAGUGUCUUUAGGGAAAAGACCAGAAUUUCAAGUCUCUGAAGAUGGUGUGAUGAGAUGCCAAUGACGAUUUUGUGUUCCUGACAGUGAAGAAGUGAAGAAGAAAUUUUUUUCGGAGGCACAUAGGAGUAAUUAUAGUAUUCAUUCAGGAAGUACAAAGAUGUACAGGAAUCUGCGUCAGCAAUUUUGGUGGAAUGGCAUGAAGAAGGAUAUAGCUAAGCAUGUCUCUCAAUGUUUAACGUGUCAGCAAGUAAAGGUGGAACACCGCAAACCCACAGGACUGUUGAGACCAUUGGAUAUACCAGAAUGGAAGUGAGAACAUGUAACGAUGGACUUUGGGCAAGGACUGCCAAACAUCAAAUGGUCACGACUCUAUUUGGGUAAUAGUGGAUCGUUUGAUGAAAUCUACUAAUUUCCUAACUGUCCGCAUAGACUACUCGAUGAGUAAACUUGCUGAGAUGUAUGUAAGCCAAGUAAUACGCUUGCAUGGUAUUCCUGUAACGAUCAUCUCUGAUCGAGACUCUAGGUUUACUUCAAAUUUUUGGCGAAGUCUUCAAGAUGCCUUAGGGACAAAGCUUCAAUUUAGUACUACUUUUCAUCCUCAAACAAAUGGACAAACAGAAAUAGUGAUUCAGACUCUAGAAGAUAUGCUAAGAGCAUGUGUUAUUGACUUUAAAGGAAAUUGGGAUGAGAAUUUACACCUGAUAGAGUUCACCUAUAACAAUAGUUUUCAGAAAAGUAUAGGUAUGGCUCCAUAUGAGGCAUUAUAUGGAAGAAGAUGUAGGACCCCUAUCUAUUGGAAUGAAGUAAGUGAAAGAAAACUGACAGGACCUGAGAUAGUACAAGUUACUAUAGAAGCGGUCGAGAUAAUCAGGAAAAGGUUUAAGACAGCCCAGAAUAGGCAGAGAGAUUAUGCGGAUAGGCGUAGAAGGCCUUUAGAGUUUAAUGUGGGAGAUCACGUAUUUCUUAAGGUAUCUCCUAUGAAAGGAAUAUCUCGAUUCGGAAUGAAUGGUAAGUUAAGCUCUAGAUUUGUUGAACCUUUUGAGAUACUUGAAAGAGUAGGGGAUGUAGCAUACCGUUUGGCGCUGCCUCCUAAAUUGGGAAAUUUACAUGAUGUGUUUCAUGUGUCGAUGUUGAGAAAGUACCAGCAAGAUUCUAGUCACAUACUCGAUCAUGAAGCCAUCAAAGUAGAUGAGAAAGUGAGAUACAUCGAAGAGCCUGUGCAUGUACUGGAUCGAAAGGAGCAAAUUCUUAGGACUAAGAAGAUUCAUUUGGUUAAGAUAUUAUGGCAACAUCAUGAUGUGGAGGAAGCCCCAUGGGAGAGUGAAAACGAGAUGAGGGAAGGUACCCUCACUUGUUUGAGAAAACAUAGGUAAUGUCUAAUUUCGAGGACGAAAUUCUCUAAGGAGGGGAGAAUUGUGACAUCCUAAAAUGUCGUGACAACCUCUGGAGCACCAUGAACCAUGAUUAGGUAAUGGAAGUGCCGUUUGAUUUUGUAUUAGCCAUUGAAUGGGAUAAGUACACUAAUGGUGCCAUAAGUUGUGUACGGCGCUCACUUUGGUGCCAAAAGUUUCUGUCGGAUCACUUAAGUGCCAAAUCGGAGGAAAAACACUCACUUUGGUGCCACCGGCGAAAGAUUCCGGCCAAAAUGAUUUAAAAAAAAAAAAAAAUUUGAUAAGCCUUUAAAUGACGUCGUUUUCGGUCCUCCUUAAGAAAACGACGUCGUUUUGCCAUCCUACGUGGAUGGCUUCAUGGAAACGACGCUGUUUAGCUCACAUGGGGAAGAAAUUAGGGUUUCGGCGAGGUCGAAGCCGUGGCCGUCGUCGGGGUUGGGGUCGGAGUCGGGGUUGAAGCUGCGGCCGCCGAGUGGCCAUCAUCGAGGUCAGGGUCGGGGUCGGGGUCGAAGCUACGGCCAUUGAGUGGCCAUCGUCGGGUCGGGGGUCAGGGUUUGAGCCGCGGCCAUCGUCGCGGUCGAGGUCGAGGUCUAGGUCGGGAGCUACGGCCGCCGAGUGGUCAUCGUCGGGGUCAGGGUCGGGGGUCAAGGUCGCAGCCGUUGCCGUCGUCGCGNNNNNNNNNNNNNNNNNNNNNNNNNNNNNNNNNNNNNNNNNNNNNNNNNNNNNNNNNNNNNNNNNNNNNNNNNNNNNNNNNNNNNNNNNNNNNNNNNNNNACCAAACGGCGUCGUUUUGGUGUUUGGAUGCUGACUCAGCUCUCCGACGAGCCACGUCGGCAUAAAAAAUUAAUAAAAAAAGGCCACGUCGGAUUUCCGGCCAAUUUCGUCGGAGUUGGCACCAAAGUGAGCGUUUUUCAAAUUUUUUGGCACUUAAGUGAUCCGACGGAAACUUUUGGCACCAAAGUGAGCGCCGUACACAACUUAUGGCACCAUUAGUGUACUUAUCCCGCCAUUGAAUUAAUGAAUUUCAAUUAAUUUAAGGUCGAGCAUUGUAAUGGAUGAUUGUUUGGAUGGAGAUUGUCUACAAGUGAACCAAGGAUUUUAUUUAGGUGCAAAUUGAUAUAGAGAUCUUAUUCUUGGUGGUGCACUUUAUAAGUAGAAUUUUAUUGAUUUAAAUUGCAAAGUCUUGUGGAUUUAUAAGUUGAAAUUAUGUGUUAAUUUAAAUAAGGGUUAAGUGGGAUAGGAAUAGGAGAUGGUGGGCUGAUCUUUAGGCCCAAAGACCAUCCAACCAGCCCACGCCAGCCCCCUAUUCAACCGGCCCAUGAAGGCCCAAGACCGGCCUAGCCUUGAAGCCCAUCAACCUUGCAUGUGAGCUGCCAAGUGGCAUGGAGGAGGAGCCAAGUGUGGCUGCCCCCAUUGGCUUCCUUGGGCGGCUUCAUGCAAUCAAAUGAUUGCAAAUGAUUGUAGGGAAGAAAGCUAAAGGUAGAGAGGCGGAUGGGUGAAGGGG